rnacentral:lncRNA from 1 species
GACGAGUCCAAACCAUGAUUUUGAGUGAAACUCUCUCUGACAUGGUAAGUUACACGUUGUUUAAAGACUAUUAUUGCCUUAGUUUAUGAUAAAACUGGUUUUAAAAACUGUUGAAGCUGUUGGCUGAUGAUGCAUUCCUUCCAGAGAUGAAAUUUACCCCCAGAGUGAAUUGCAAUAAAGACACAGUACCAGCCAUUUGAUGUAUCGCUAGUGAACUUGCAGUAAGCUGGAUGUCACUUGAAACCUCUUCCAUGGGAACCACAUGAGCUAUCGAUUGUUUACCUCUGCCAUACCUCUAACAGUUAGAUAUUUCCUUGAUUGCCCAAAGAGGAAGAUGUGGAGAUAAAUUGUCUGUUUACUGAGAUAUAUAAAACUAAUAUUCUCUCUUUCCUUGUCCUUGCUUCUUCCAUCCAGCUAUAUGUUCCUGUGAGGUCUCCCCAGCUAACUCACCAAUAAUUCCAUGUAUGGAAGGAAGACAGAUAAGGGUAACUGGAUUUGGUAAACCACCCAGCACUGAAUACCAGUUCUGUGAUUGUCUCCACCCUUCUCAAGACCCAGAAUUCAGAUUCAGGCCUGUUACUGGAUAUUCACAGCAUCAAUGCUGGAAAAUAUCGAAAAUAUUACACAUCCGGGCUAGCACACAGCUGAGUGAAGUUCUUGGCAUUGAGUCUGUAUUUCUCUAUCCUGUCUCCCCAUGCACAUAG